rnacentral:rRNA from 1 species
GACGAACGCUGGCGGCGUGCCUAACACAUGCAAGUCAACUUGACUGAAGGAGCAAUCUGACAGUAGAGUGGCGCAAGGGUGCGUAACGCGUAAGUAACUUGCCCAAGGUAAGGAAUAACGUCGAGAAAUCGGCGCUAAUACCUCAUAAUGCAGCGGAUCCGCAUGGAUAUGUUGUUAAAGGUUUACCGCCUUGGGAUAGGCUUGCGUCUGAUUAGCUAGUUGGUGUGGUAACGGCACACCAAGGCUACGAUCAGUAACUGGUCUGAGGGAUGAUCAGUCACACUGGAACUGAGACACGGUCCAGACUCCUACGGGAGGCAGCAGUGAGGAAUAUUGGGCAAUGCUCGAAAGAGUGACCCAGCAACGCCGCGUGGAGGAUGAAGGUAUUCUAUAUCGUAAACUCCUGUGAGAGCAGACGAAAGACAGAUUAUUAAUCUGGAUGACUGUAUGCUCAGAGGAAGCCCCGGCUAACUACGUG